GUUGUACACUCAAUUUAGAGGGAACAUGUUUACAAUACGAGGAUUAGAGCAGGAAGCUAACACAAUUAUCGAGUACAAAAACCAAAAGAAACAUGUAUCUGUUGAAAAAGUAGGCCUUCAGAUUUGCUCUUCUCUUCCUUUUCUAGCUGCAUCAACAGAUGGUCUCAUAACAGAUGAAGGUGAAAGUGGACUUCUUGAAAUAAAAAACUUUCUUCAAACAAACAAAUAUUUAUUGAAAGAAGCUGUUAAAAAAGUGCCAAACUUCUGUCUAGAGCUGUGUGAAAAUAAACUGCAACUAAAACAAAAGCAUGAAAUUUACUAUCAGAUUCAAGGUCAGCUUAACAUUUAUGGAAAAGAAUGGUGUGAUUUUGUGAUAAGAAGAACGAACCCAUAUGACAUACAUAUUGAACGUAUAUACAGAAAUAAGUUGCUGUGGAGUACUGAGAUGGUCCCAAAGCUGAAAGCAUUUUAUUAUAAGUUCUUACUACCAGAGCUAGCUUUACCAAGAUAUGGUACUUACACAGGGAUAAGACAUCCCAAAUCACCCUGGGUAUGUAUCUAUUACCGGUAAACAGAAAUGAUUUCUCUUCUUAUAUUUCAUAUUUGAUUUCUGCAUGACUUUGAUUUUUUAAAUAAUAUUUACUAAAUAAAUUAGGCCUUUGUACUGUUUAUUGUGGGAUGUAACAAUGAUUAAAAGUUUGGACCAUGUCUAUGAAUCAAACCACUUAAUGUCUAUGAAUUAAAACACUUAACUAAGGACAUUAUACCCAGUGACUGUGAUAAAUUCUUCACUAUGCUGAACACAGUCGGUUGUGUUUUUGUGACCAGUGUAGAUCUUGAUCACUUUGCACAUCUGUGCAGUCUGAUCAUGAUCUGCAUGGUUUGUUAUUCAUUCAGUAUCUGCUUUGCUCUUAAUCCCUUUUAUAAGUUAAUGGCACUGUCCAUAUUGGAAGAUGAACAACUUCGACAAGUUCAUUAUAGAAAUUAAGCAUUAUAAGGGUUAACUGUCCAGUCAUGUAUGACAGGUAAAUACAUGAUGAACGACAUUAGGCAUUCUUUAUUUUUCUUCUUACAUUAAUGCCAUAUAUAGUCUGUUUAUCAUGAUAAAAAUUAUCAUGAACUGUAUUAACUUUAUUUUUCAAUCCAGAAUUUUUCCCUCAUAAUCAUAGUACUGGCAACCAAAGCAACUAUAAUUCUUUGCUUUGAUUCACGUCAUUCUUUGUAUAACUGCUGGAACAUUUUUUUUCCAUUAAUACUUUUCAUGAAAAAAAAAUUAUUAUAGUGAAACUUAAAAAAAAAUAUGGCAUACAUUUAUUUGUGAUUAACGGUUGUACACAAUUUCUGCCUAAAUUUCUUGUUGCAAGAACACUGGUAAUCUCGGUGGAAUUUCUACCUGCAACAUAUAUACGAAAAUCAGAAGUACAAUGCUAUACCAAAAUAAACACUAUGAUUGCCUUUUAUGCAUAAAAUGGAUCUUAUAUUCUAUAUUACAUUUAGCAUGCAUAAUGUAAAUACAAUAAAUUAAAAUUAUAUUUAUUUUUUUACUUAUUUCAGUUUGAAGAAGUGGCGGCAGUUACAUAUCCAAAGAAACCUUGUCAGCAAAGAAAACCUACAUGUAAAACACAAAGCAGAAGAAAAAGCAAUCAGUGUGAACAGCCUGUGGUUGUAACAUCACAAAUUGUGCAACAUGGUACCAACAAAACUGUAUUACAGGAGCCUUCAACUUCCAAUGAAAAUGUGUCACUUUCCCAAAGUACAUCUGGAAGGUCUAGACGGUCCAGACAUGUCAAAUUGGUUGGUAGAAAAAUUCUUCAUGAAUGGUGCGUUUGUGACAAAAAGAAAAAGGGAAAAAAUAAAUGGUUCUCUGGAAUUGUCUUAGAUGUUCUCAAAGGAAAAGAUGGUGACCCCAAAGCAGUAUAUGAAGUACUGUAUGAAGGAGAGGAUGCUGCCAAUAAAGUAGAUCACUUACAUGAUGACUUCAUAAAAGGCUCCUUAAAAUUCAACGACAUUUGAGGACAGGAAAAAAAUUUAUUUUAUCAGCAAAAACAAGAAUAUU
rnacentral:lncRNA from 1 species